GUUCUGAAACAGUGUCAGGGUGAGGAAUGAUGAGGGGUGAGGAAUGAUGAGGGGUGAGGAAGGAUGAGGUGUGGUUCGGGGAGAGCCACGCCCUUUAUCAGACGGCCAUCAGGAAUGUGUGUGUCAUAGGAAAAUCUGAACUGCCCUCAGUGAGGUGGCCCUAUCCUCCAGCGAGCCAUCUGCACACGCCCUGCCACAGCCACGGAACAGGAAGGCCAAGACCCAGACACGCUCCCUCCUCUCCACUGCUGCGGGCGAACAUCAGAGUCACACAGACGGCAGCCCUGGAGGGUGUGAAAGGCUGCUCAGGCGUACACUCUCACCUUGAUCAUCUGAGCCACGUAGCUCUCGGGGCCCGUGUAGUCUGUCUUGUUCUUGACACGGACCAGCACAAUGAAGUACAGGUAGUUCCACAUGUUGUGCUCCAGUUUGAUGUGCUCUUCAAAGGACACUGUCUUGUUGUCAAACUUGUCCCUCUCCAGACCUGGGGGCAGAAGGAGGGCCACCAUGGGGACUGCUUCUAAUAGCUCCCCUGGGCGAUUUGGGUCGAUAUUCAAGCUCCCACUGCUUAGUGGUACCUGGCUACAGCCCUCCUGCAGAGCACUAGGGACUCUGGGAACAUCAGGAUUGCCUGAGCCCAGUGGUGACAGGACUAGCUGGGUCAAUGGCAUGUCCUGAAGGCGGGCCACUGGUGAGGACAUGACUAGGUUCAGAAGGAGCAAAAUGGGCCAAAACCAGAAGUCUGAGGCCACAGUGGCCUCAGGUUCCUCUCCUGGAGGCCACAGUGGCACGAAGCAGUGACUGCCCAGGUCCUGCUGAUCCCAGCAUAGGUCAGGUCAGCAAGGGUAAGACUGGGUGCUACGGCUUAGAAGCCUCAGGCCGCGCAGUCGGAAACAGCCAAGUGAGGAAGUGGGCCUCACCACAGAUGAAGCACGUGGUCUUGAGGAUUUCCUCUUUCUUCUGCUUCUCGCUGCGCAGGUCGGCGAAGGUGUCGAUGAUCACCCCAAAGAUGAGGUUCAGGACAAUAAUGAUGACAAUGAAGAAGAACAGGAGGUCGUACACCACCCUGGCUGGGAAGAGCGACUCCUGCAGAGCAAGGGGACACACAAGGGCAGAGUCACCGCGAGCCCCAACCGAGAGCGAACAUGGGAACCCACAGACAACCGUGACCCCCGCUGUCAUUGCCAUGAGCUAACACUGGGAAACGGCUGACCAGGAGGAAGCCCUUACAAGUCCUACAAAACAGGGCAGCCUGCAGCCCUGUGUCCAAGUCCUGAGGCUCCACCCUGCCCUCCCCACUGGGCUGAGGAAGCCACUGACUGCUGAUGGCUCACACCUUCCCAAGCCUCAGAGCCAAGACUGGUUGCUGUGGUGACCCUUGUAGCAUCUACAGUGUGCUGGGGGGCAGGAAGCUGACAGCUCUGGACAGUGCCCCAGAAACCGGCUGGAUACGGGGGCAUCCAUCCAAUGGGUGGGAUGGUGCUUACGUCUUUGGAGGGCUUGCGGAGGAUGUCGCCCACGCCGCCACCGUUCCUCAGUCCGUGGUUCAUGACGGUGACAAUACACAUAAGCAGAGUAUCACAGGCCCGCUCUGUGCUGUCCAGCUCCUCGUCCUCUGUGGGCGGUCAGUACGUUGGGACCUGGCGCUGCCCAUCUUGCCCCGCCCACCCCACCCCACCCUGCAGAUGCUAGAGUCAUCUUACCUUCUAGGAUCUCAGGCACCGAGACCUCAGAGACACAGUCCAUCUUGUCCCCACUACAUGUGCCCAUAAAUGUGGCAGCUCCGUGUGGCAUCCCCAGGGUGCUGGCUGGAGAUGACAGCAACAAGGUCACAAGGAGGUCCAAAUGUCUGUCUGUCUGACCAUAGCGUCUCGCUAGUCUGUCCUGAGAGGCCUCUCCUGGCCCUGCUGUCUCACACAGAGACCACCACACAGUAGGAGGGUCUCUGAGACCCUGGGCCCGGCCCCCAGGCAGCCCCUGCAGACAGCCAGCUCUGUAUGAAUGACAGAUCUACAUGGGUUCCGCUCAAGCCAGAGGCUAUCAAGGCUCUGCCGACCUUUCUGACUGCAGUGAGCUAACAUUCAUGUGUGGAGAUGCAGGUUGGUAUAGGCUAGACCUCCCAAAAUCCAACAGGAGGAAGGCAGGGAGCCUGGAGGAACAAGCAUGCCCUGUCUGGUGCUGCCACCUGUGCAUGUGGAUUGUCACCCCACACGCCCACCCCAGACAGAAGUCCCCGAGACCUCUGGAGUGGUUCCCAGGCAGCCGGUCCACCUCCAGGAUGAAGUCAUCCUUGAGGAAGAGGAAGCCCACGAUGGAGAAGAGGUAGACAAGGAUGAGGGCCAGCAGGGCAGUUAGCAGGAUGGAGCGGCCAUUGCGGGUCACGCUCUUGAUGACAUUAAACAGCGUCUCCUCUCGGUAGAUGAGGUCAAAGAGCUGCAAGGACGGCACCUCCGUGAGCCAGGCCCCAAUGGCUACCACAGGCUCUGCCAACGGGGCCAGUGCUCAGGCUGCAAUGGGGCAAACGGGGAGGCUUCUAGGAGAAUCUGGUUCUGAGACUGGGGGUAGGGGGUGGGGGGCAUCCCAGGAGGGCGGACAUCAGCCACUCCCAGCAAAGUGUUUGUCAUACUAGCUCCUGUCAUCCUGUGCUUCAAGGACAUGGCAGUAACAAACCCGCUCGCAGUUACACACGAGUGUUCGGGUUGCCUGGUCUGGCUGAUCCCUCCUCUGUACCGGAGAGCUGGAGGCUCUCGGGAGACUAGGGCUGGAAGGCCCCGUCACAGCGCACCGUAGGCUCACCAGGAUACUGUAGAAGAGCUCAUGAGCAAAGAGGCCCAGGACACUCGUCAGGAUGUAGCCCACGUGAUACAGGAACUCCAUGUCCAUGACCAUUGCUUUAUAGCCACGGAUGAAGGUGCCGCGGUUGCCCACGAAGCUCACCACAAACACGAUCUUGUUGGUCAGCUAGGUAUAAAGGGCGGGUGUGGAGGUCAGCACUCCAACUUCCAUCCUGACCCUCCAGCCUGCCAGUCCACCCCAGGGACACGAGUGGUACUGCUGUCACUCAUCCUGAGAGGCAGAGCACCCGUGGAACUGCCUGGGCUCCUGGGACUCAGAGAAGCUCCAGGAGUCUCAGGUGAAGCAGGCUGGGGCAGAAAAGCCCCCCGCCUUACGGCCCCUGACUAGGGAAAAGACUUCUUCCCCAUCUCUCAGGGCAGCACCCUGCCCUUGAGGCAGCCCCUGUCUGAGUCCUGGCUGCCUCAGUUGUGGGAGGAGCACAGAACACCAGGCUCACCCUCUGACUACCAGGAGCUGGGACCAAGAGUGGGAGGGAUCAGGAGGUGAGCGCCAUGGCCACAGGGCCCCGCGGCACUCACAUUGAGAGCACCCAGGAUGUUGAGCGUGGGCCCAAUGCCCAGGUAGUAGAUGGAGCGAAGGACCAGUGCCACAAUGAGGGGACGGACGCUGUAGUGCUUGGUGAACAGCGCGGCAAUGGAGAAGCAGAUGAGGAUCCAGAAGAGGAGCGAGAUGAGUGGGGAGCCCAGCACGCCUGGGGGCAGUGGGGAGCCAUGAGUGAGGAGACCAGCACGCCUGGGGACAGGCGUGAACAGGAGACUCAAACCCGAAUGGGCCCAGUGUGAGUUCCAGAGCCUCCCCCACCCCAUCUCCCUUUCCCAGGGUCCUUAAGGACCUGAUCAUACCUGCUGUACCCUGUCAUGCCUACACCACACACACACACACACACACACACACACACACACACACACACACACACACACACACAGAGGCUAUCUCCCAUGAGGCCAGAAAGUGUGUCUGUCGCUUGACCCCCACAGGGCAGUGUAGGGGUGUGUCAGGGAGGGUGGACAGUCUCACCCGUGGACGCGCCUUCCACGUAGGGGUAGAAGAAGGCAAUGAUGAUGUUGAUGAACACUGCCAGGUUGAAGGAGAUGCUACCCCACAGCGUCAUGCGGCGGGAGAACCAGUAGAUGAGCGGCAUGCCUAAGGACACAGCGUGGCGUGUGGGUCCCCACAACCCCUCUGCCCGGGGGAGCCCCAGGAAGGGGAGGAGGCACCCGCUGGUCCUCACUGCGAAGCCGGCGCUGCCACUCCAUCUCGUUGUGCAGGAAGGAGGACUGGUCGAAGAAGUCGCUCACUUUGCUGCCCUGCUCGUCCUGCUCCGUGGUGGUGAAGAGCCGGUGCUUGGUCUCCUCUGUCAGGAACUGGCAGAUGGCAGGUACCGGGAACACGAUCUGCUCCAUGCUUCGGUCUUGCCGCACAAUCUGAUUGGCCCAGCAACACUUGGUCACAUCGGGGCAGAGGCCCUCACCACCUCCCAGGCACACCGAGUGCCUUCCACCUCACCUCAAUCUGCGAGGUGUGGUUCUCAUAGUAGGCCAGCGGGUCUUCCUCCUCCUCUUGGGCAGGGGCUGAGGACUUGAGCAUCUGAGAGAGCUGCUUGUUGUUGAGGCUGAGCUGGGGGUGGGGCCACAGGGGGUCAGUCCCACGGGGGGCGGGGCCACCUGGUCAGCCUUGCCCCCAGCCAGAGCCAGCCUAAGCCCACCCUUCCCAGUCCUGCCCAGGGGCCUGCUAGAAUAUUCCAGACCUGCCCCAGAACCAAGGAGGUCUUGCUUUCAUUUCUCUUGUCAGGGUUACACCACCGUACCCCCGUCCUGCUGCAAACCCACCCCAGACCCUAGCUUGUCUCUCAGGUCCCUGCUCACUGGGUUCCAGGCUGGCCUCACAGGAUAGCAGCUUUCUGUCACCAGUCUGCUCCUUGCUCAUUUGAUUCCCACAGAGCCCCAGGCCUGCCCUCGGGCCACAGUUCUUCUUCCCCCACUCCCCGCCCAACUCCACCCCCAAACUCUCACCAUGGAAGAGAUGCCCUCGGCCUCCUCCUCCUGGAUGCGCUUCACCGGCUUCAGCAGGUGCUGUAGCUGCUUGUUGUGCCUGGAAAGCUGCAGAAGACAGGACAGGAGAACGAUGGGCACUGCCUCGGGGGGCGUGGCCACAGAGGGGCAGGGCCUCGGGCAGAUUCGGUACCUGCAGUGCCAGGAUGUAGAUGUUGUGGCCCACUUCACGUGGGCUCACUUCGGAAUUUUCCCGCUCCUCCUCCUGCAGUCCGUCCAUCCUCCUCACCAGCUCCUGAGGCCGAAGGCUGAUGAGGAUGCGUUCUGCAUUCUCGCUGUCAUGUCGACUCUCCAUCAGAGCCAGGAGCAGCUUGGAGGCAUUGUCCUGGGUGGAGGGGGUGCCGGAAGCAAGCCAGGUCUGAGGGCUCCCACUGUGACCAGUGUGUUACGCCCCCUACAGGUCAGCCUCACCCAUCCUGAGUAAACACGCUCAAGCUCCAGCCCCCGCACCCCACUCGCCAACACACAGAGGAAGUGGGGGGGGGGGAGAGCAUGAUGUCUUCACGCCCCUACUCCUGUGUAGCCAGUGCAACCUGCGCACCUCACCAAAUGCACGCACAGAAGGAGCAUCAUCGCAUACAGCACAACAUGGCGCCCCACACGCCAAAUACCCUUGUCACUCACACGUGAGCACACACCUCACAGGCACAGCCCGCACGCCCACCGCCCGGGACCCCACCUUGAG